ACCCGGGCUCCGCACCUGGCUGGCCGCACCUGGCAGCUGGCUGGCCCUGCGCCUCGCGCCUGCGCUCUGCGCCCUCAGGGUCCUCGCUGGGCGUGCGAAGCCCGGCCAUGCUCCGGCCCCAUGCCUCCCGGCUGCCGCCUCCAAGGUGUCGGUUUUGGGUCAUUUAACGGCCGCUGUGGCGCAUGCCCUGAAGACAUUUUCCCACCUAUCUUCCGAACCCUGGGGAGGACCACGACCCUCAGCCCCACAGCAUCCCAGACCCUCGCGCUGCGUUGACCUGCCCCUGCGGCGACUGUUGGAUGCGACCCAGACUGGCGGCCAGACUGCGUGCUCGGCGGCUGUUAGGUCCGUGGCGUCCCGUGUGCGAGGCUCCUCGUGCGCGGAAGAGACGUGAACAUCGUCCGGGCCAAUGGCAGGCCACAGAAGAGGCAGGUGGGCUCAGCGCGAGCCUGCUGGCCCAGAAUGGCACGAGGGCCUUUUAGAAACCAUAAACUGGGUAAAGUUGAAUCCCAACCACCUACGCUCUGAACUUUUUUUUUUUAAACCAUAUACACUUUAAGGGCUGUCUGAUCUU
rnacentral:lncRNA from 1 species